rnacentral:lncRNA from 1 species
GCCAUGUCAUCAAGUCCAAUCUUUGGUGUGCUCAGCAAUAAAAAAAAUGAUCGAGUCUGCCACACUAUUUGCCUUUCGAAAAAUAUGACAAACUGACACUUCGGUAAACUCUCGAAGUAAAAUCCGAUAUCACAGAGAAGUGGAUGAGCCUCCAUAUAUCUUGUGUCAUCCUGAAUUAUCGAAUUAUCGAUAUCAAAUCGCC